CGCCAUUCCAUUUCCGGUUCUAUUAUUUCUAAAAUGUUCUUCUUCCUUUUCCUUCGUAGUCUAAAAUUUUCAUCAUUCGUUUUAAUGUAUUGACAGCGUCAGGUUGUCACGCGUCCGCGUUUUUUUGUUUCACGUUCAUCUUUUAAUAAAAAUUUAAUUGGUAGGUAAUAAAGGGUUUAUUUAUUUUAUAAAUAAUCAAAAAAAAAAAAACAAUGAUGAAAAUUAUAGAUAGGGACAUCUGAAAAAGAUGAUGAUUUAUCGUAGAUAAAUACAACUGACACCUCAUCAAUAAUUUUUUAUUUGUUGAACCAUCCUUUGUGCGUUGAUUAAUUUUUUUUAUUUUUAUAUUUUAUGUACUGCGAGACGCAUUUUGGCAAAAACUGUGAACCUAGCAAAACUAGGAAAUUGGAUAUUUUUUUGGAAAGGUGUUUUGCUGAGUUAAACGGUUAAUGUUGUCAAUGUACUCGCUUGUAUGUGACGCCAUUUUGUAGAACAAAGGCGUUAUCUUAACUUGAAAAUAAAAUUUAAUUUUUAUAAAUCUAAAUAAA